rnacentral:rRNA from 1 species
UACGGAGGGUGCGAGCGUUGUCCGGAAUCAUUGGGCGUAAAGGGCGCGUAGGUGGCGGGACAAGCGUGCGGUGAAAGCUCGGGGCUCAACCCCGCGUCGGCCGUGCGAUCUGUUUUGCUGGAGCACUGUAGAGGCAGGCGGAAUUCCGGGUGUAGCGGUGGAAUGCGUAGAGAUCCGGAAGAACACCGGUGGCGAAGGCGGCCUGCUGGGCAGUUGCUGACACUGAGGCGCGACAGCGUGGGGAGCAAACAGG